GGAGUCUGAAAGAGGUCUAGGCCUAGGAGCGAUACGGAGUCGGUCAGACGCCCCCUCCACUGCACUGGGGACACUGCACACGUCACUACACACUUCACCCUUACCUUGGUCUAUAUCUCGCAAUUGCUGCUGCAAAUUGCGGAUUGACGCUUCCACAGCGGCUCUCUCGGCAGACGCAUCUGCGGGUUCGCUACGGGGGGAAGGAGCUGAAACCAAAAAGGAAGAUGGCAAAGCUACUGCAGGGUUAGAAAUACUAUCCUGUUCCGCAGAACAGGAUCUACUUGAACUUCUAGCUGAAGCUUUUCUAAUCCUAUCCUUUUCUAAUUUUUUUCACGUAUGCAGUCAGCUCUUUCCAUUGCACUUCAGUUAAGCUCUCGCAUACAUCACAUGUAUCCUUAACUGAACAAUCCCUUCCCCUACCUUUUACACAAACAGUGUGAGGGUCCAAAGUAGCCUUAGGCAACCUCACCUUGCAUCCUUCAUUUACACAUACUCUAAACAGAGUUCCAGGUGUUAUAUCAGACAUAUUAUCCAACUAAAUCCAAAAAACAGCGUAUGCCAACAACCAAAGAUCAAAUACUUCCCAAAUAAUCCUCGGCGAAGCAAGCAAGAAAUUCUAAGCAGGAGCUACCAACAAAGUUGUUGUCAGCACCGGCGACAGAAAAAUUCUGUCAGAAAACGGGAAUGAUUCCUAUUACCGCCACCCAGCGGCGGUAGGGGGUGAUCACCUGACCUACCUGUAGCGUGUGCCGCGAGUUUUGAAUUCUGUCGGACAUCAGAGACAUUAGCUAAGUAUAUAUCUGCCGGGUAAGUUGCAUGUGUAAAAAUACAAUUUACUUUUAAAAAUUUUGAUCUUUUUAUCUUUAUUCCUAUCUUUCUUCCAGUUUUCUAUCAUUCUCUCUGUAAUUUUUUCCUUCUAUUUUUGUAUUCUUUCUUUUUUAUCUUUGAUCUUUUUUCUAUCUUUCAUUAUCUUUCUGUCUAUUUUUCUUAUUUUCUGUAUCUUUUUCUUCCUGUCUUUCUAUAUUUCUUCCAUUCUAUCUUUCUUCCAUUCUGUCUUCCUUCCAUUCUGUCUUUCUAUGUCCUUUCUGAAAAUCCUUAUGGACAAUCAACAGACUUUAAUACAUAAACCUAAGAUGGCUUCAAAGAGAGAGAAAGAGAGAUUGAUUUAUUUAUUGCUACUCUCAAAUGAUGCCUCUCUGUCACUGCCCUCCAAAGGACGUCAAUCACGUCUACAGCAACAGGAGCAUAGAAGAAAAAAUUACCCCAGGAGGGGGUUGGACUUCGAACGCGGACCUCUCGGACAACCAGGAGGACCUCGAGAGGCCACUCGGUCUUCUGCCCCAUGACUUCCCUGGUGGAUGAUGAUAGUGGCUCUCCACCUACGUCAGAAUAGAAGCUCAAGAUAUCUAAGUAAGAAGAUCAGACAUGGCAAUGAUGCUUCACGAACCCUCAAUCAGGCCUGGGUAGGAGUCUACCCACUAGAGUACCAUUUCUUGAUAGUGUUCACAUCAUUCCACUGGCCUGUACCGAUGUCUACUUUUAGGACGUGGACUGUGUCUUAAACCUGGCCUGGCUUGCUGAAGCUUCAAAUGAUGAUUCACAUAUCAUCCAAGGAAAACUUCUUGGAUGCAGCAGCCAGGAUGCAAAUGUAGCUCAGUUUCUCAUUGCCAAAGAAGUGGCAGGGGAGAUGAAGGCACUGGUAAAACCUGACAGAUACAUAGCUGUCCACUGACCUUAGUGGACAGCCUAACAACAUCAGUGUUACGGUUACAACAAAUGUUCCAUUGUUCCUGAAGUAACAAGAAAUCUUAACAACAACAACUACUUAGAAUACAAGUGAUUCCAGGCCCUUUUUACCUGGAUGUUCUCUACAGGAACCACAAGCUUCAGGAUUUAUACUACACACAUCAUCAAGCUACAUUGUAACAAACAAGGGUCUUGUACAAAUUUGUACUACAAAAUUUUCAAGUUACCUGUGUAGAUGGAUUUAUUGCAAAGAAAUGAUUAAAUAUAGUAUUUUACUUUUAAAAUGUUUAGAUUCUAUGGAGAUAUUUUACUUAAUGAUGAUCCUGUGACAAAACAAACAAUAUUUAUUUGUCUGAGUACCACCAGUUGAAAUGAACACAGCACUCUCACAGUGCACCAAAAAUGCAUGCUGCUUUCAUAGAUAGGGUCCCUCUCCUCACCUCCACAAUAUGGAGGGUGUUCAUUGUCAAAAAUGGCCUGCAUCCAUUGUCGAAGCUUUUUAAGCGACUCCAAACAGCACCAGUGUUCAUUAACUGUAUCGACUACCUUGGUAGGUUUGCAGAAUGACCCAACCUUGUUUAGUUUUUUAGUUGGUUGAAGAAAAAUCUUCUUGGCAACCUCUUUCCACACCUCAGCGGUCCUCAUCGAUCUUCCUGGGGGUGUUUAUUCUGAAAUUUUAAAAAGUGUACAAUCAGGUCUUGUAUACAAACUGGUAGUGAAAAGCAAUGGGACCAACGGCUUUACGUGACUUCCAAACCAAGUCGAGAGCGAACUUCUAUUAUCAGAAAUGCACAUCUCUCAUACCUCAACGGAAUGCCCGAGAAUUGAACUCGCGGCCAUUGGGGCGCCAGGCUAACACCGUACCGACCAUGCCACUGAGGCCCUUCAAUGGGUCUUUUGGUGUCAACUGAAUAUUGUAUUAUAAAUCAUUUUAACCUUUCAGAACUUCAUUUGGUAAGCUGACCCUGAUAUCUGUCAUUUAAAAUUUUUGUUGUAGCAAUUUGGCAGUAAAAUAUUUUAGUACCAACAAGUGUUUGUAGAUAGACCUGUAUAAUUAUUCAACCAAAUUCUCAUUUCAUUAGUUUUAGCCAUGGUUAUCAGUAAUCUGUUAACUACGUAAUAGUAUAUAAUGAUUUUUGUCAUUAGGACUGACUCUCCCAAGAUUUUAUAUCACCACCUGGUUCAGAAUUUGUUUAGGAGAAGACACUAAGUACUCUGAAGUACUGGAAGACUUCCAAGAAUACCUUAUGCAAUUCUUAAAUCUUUUAUAAAAAGAUUUUCUGAAUUAAUGUGACUUUUAUACUAUUACAGAUAUUAAGUAC